ensembl:lncRNA
AAAAAAAAAAGGGAGGGAAAACAAACAGACACAAGGAAUAACCAGCAAGAGGCCACAGAGACAACGAUUCCAAGAACGAGUUGAGACGCGUCGCUGCAGCUCGGGCGAGGCGCUGAAAACACACCCGUCAACGCAAAGGGUCUGCCAUCCUGUCUGCGGUUGACGACAGGCCACCUGAAAAUGUGAAAAUGGUGGUGUGACAGGGCUUCCUGCAAGGAAGAAUAAGGUGUGAAAGGUCAUAUGAGAUGCCAUGUUGAAGCAGGCUUCCUACUUCCUUUCUGUCCUCCCCUCUGUCAUCCUCUCUUAUCCUUCCUACUUUAUCCUGUCUUCCCUCCUUCCUUCCCCUGUCCUCCAUGAUGGUCAGCAGUUCCCGGCCCA